AUGUGGAACACAACCACCAAACGCGUGACUAUUUCCGAACGUCCCUAAUAAAUUCACUGAGGUCCCGCCGUUCACAGGCUGCCGGACAAACCCAGGAAGAGCAUAAAAAGUGCCAGAUGACUUUAUGACUCUCCCUUCCCUUACUCCCUUCCUCCCUACUCCUCCUCCUCCUCCUCCCCCUCCCCCAUCCCCGGACAGAGGGAGAACCCCACGCCUCGAGGCAUACGCAUCUUUAGAUUCCCCUCCCGUGUCAGUUUGUUUCAUAAAAGAUCGGGGGCGUAUUUGCAUAGCAUUUUUAACGCCGGGAUCAACAAAAGCGCCGGACAAUGGCGGCCCGCCGAGUGUGUGAUCCCCCGGCGGCGCUCAAUCUGAUGAGGAUCAUCAAGCCUCCAAGCUCCCACUAUAUGCAACUCACCUGUUGCGGUGCAGCUAACUAACGCCGGGCCCGGAUAUUUCCAGUUCAAUCAGGAUUCGGGGAGUUGUGUGGCUUCUUCUUCUUCUCCUUCUUACUUGGCCUGGCGAUGGAGGCUGGCUCUACCACCGCCACUAGGGUGGCUAACAGGAGCAGUAGCAGCAACGUGAGCAGAAAGAGAAGACACUGCCGGGGUUGGCAAUCCUGGAGAAGCCUCCUUAAAAUGGAAGCUGUCCCUGGAGAGUGUCCACUGUGUUUUCCAGUGACUUGAGAGCUAAGUGACCAAGGAAUAUUUUUGUUGUGAUGCCACCACGGAAUGCUGCCAGUGAUUGCAAAGAGGAAAAAGUGAUGUGUUGGAAUGGUCUCUGGUAGCUGUGAUCUUUACAACCUCAUAGACAGCGUGGAUCUUCUCAACUUUCUUCCUCGUCCUCAUCUCGUCAGUAUCCGCAAGAUAAGGAACUUCCUCUCUGAUAAAACCAAGGAAGAACACCUCGUAGACGCCUUCAUCUGAAGAGCACCCACACCCACACAUACUAAGGGUUACAAAAGGUAUUUAUCUCGUCUGUGCGUGUUAUACAAAAGAGUGCGUUGUCUUUUCUUACCUGACUGCAGGCCUUCGUCUGGCCGGAUGCAGACGGAAGCGAUGCUGAAGAGCGAGAAGACGACGAAGGCGACCACGAUGAAGGCCAGCUCAAAUCCAGAGAAAGGCACUUCCAUGGGCUCACAGUUGUUAUGUAACCCAGCAUGCAGUAUGGAAUAUAUCACACAAUAUGAAAGAAGCAUUCAUGUAAUAUGUAUAUUGUGCUUGUAGUUUUUCGGUGGUGUACAGCUAUACUGUAUCGCACUUUUCCUAGUAUUUUGAUUCUUUGGUUGAAAUAAAUAUGGCGACCGCAAGAGUACAAACUGUGGGAUGGGGAAAGGCAUUUCAGAAGACUAUUCAACAACACAGUCAUGUUUUGAGAUACGAGUGACCCGACUUACGGGUUUUUUUUAGAUAUGAGCUGUAAUUUGGCUGAUUUAUUUUUUUGCUCUGACUUGCGAGAGCAAACUUGUGAUACAAGCGCAAUGUGGUGUCAGUAAAACCCAUUAAACUCACUUCACAAUAAGCAAUAGUUUGGCAAAUAGUGAACAUUUCAUCAAAAAAGAGGCUUCAAGCUAUUUAAUGCCACCACCAGUUGUAAAACGUUACACCCUGGUCCAUGGUCUCUGUUCCAGGUUUGAUAUUACCUCCGAAGCCGGGUUGACUCUUCCGUUUUUAUACAGAACAGCAACACGGGGGGGGCUUGGAAAAUUCCCA